GUGAGGAAUUUUCCGCAAUGGGCGAAAGCCUGACGGAGCAAUGCCGCGUGAAGGAUGAAGGCCUAUGGGUUGUAAACUUCUUUUCUCAGAAAAGCAUUAUGACGGUAUCUGAGGAAUAAGCAUCGGCUAACUCUGUGCCAGCAGCCGCGGUACGACAGAGGAUGCAAGCGUUAUCCGGAAUGAUUGGGCGUAAAGCGUCUGUAGGUUGUUUAAAAAGUAUUCUGUCAAAGAUUAGGGCUUAACCCUAGAUAGGCAGAAUAAACUUUUAAGCUAGAGUUUGGUAGAGGCAGAGGGAAUUCCCGGUGGAGCGGUGAAAUGCGUAGAUAUCGGGAGGAACACCAAAGGCGAAGGCACUCUGCUGGGCCAAUACUAACACUGAGAGGCGAAAGCGAGGGGAGCAAAUGGGAUUAGAAACCCGUGUAGUCC
rnacentral:rRNA from 1 species